AUUGAACGCUGGCGGCAGGCCUAACACAUGCAAGUCGAACGAGUGGCGGACGGGUGAGUAAUGUCUGGGAAACUGCCUGAUGGAGGGGGAUAACUACUGGAAACGGUAGCUAAUACCGCAUACCAUCGGAUGUGCCAAGAUGGGAGUGGCUAGUAGGUGGGGUAAAGGCUCACCUAGGCGACGAUCCCUAGCUGGUCUGAGAGGAUGACCAGCCAUACUGGAACUGAGACACGGUCCAGACUCCCACGGGAGGCAGCAGUGGUGAAUAUUGCACAAUGGGCGCAAGCCUGAUGCAGCCAUGCCGCGUGUCUGAAGAAGGCCUUCGGGUUGUAAAGUACUUUCAGCGGGGAGGCGUUACCCGCAGAAGAAGCAUCGGCUAACUACGUGCCAGCAGCCGCGGUAAUAC
rnacentral:rRNA from 1 species